rnacentral:rRNA from 1 species
UACGGGGGGGGCAAGCGUUGUUCGGAAUUACUGGGCGUAAAGGGUGCGUAGGCGGCUUUCUAAGUUGGAUGUGAAAACUAUGGGCUCAACCCAUAGCCUGCAUCCAAAACUGGAGAGCUUGGGUUCUGGAGGGGAAAGCGGAAUUCCUGGUGUAGCGGUGAAAUGCGUAGAUAUCAAGAGGAACACCUGAGGUGAAGACGGGUUGCUGGGCUGACACUGACGCUGAGGCGCGAAAGCUAGGGUAGCAAACGGG